AUUGAACGCUGGCGGCAGGCCUAACACAUGCAAGUCGAACGAGAGGCGGAGGGGCGGGUAAUGUAGGGGAAACUGCGCGACGGAGGGGGAAAAGUACGGGAAACGGUAGAUAAAAGCGCAAAACAUCGGAUGGGCCCAGGUGGGAUUAGCUAGUUGGUGGGGUAACGGCGCACCUAGGCGACGAUGCCUAGCUGGUCUGCGAGGGUGACCGGCCACACUUGGACUGAGACACGGUCCAGACUCCUACGGGAGGCAGCAGUAGGGAAUAUUGCGCAAUGUGCGCAAGUCUGAUGCAGCCAUGCCGCGUGUGUGAAGAAGGUCUUCGGGUUGUAAAACUCUUUCAUCGGGGAAGCGUUACCCACACAGGAAGCCCCGGCUAACUCCGUGCCAGCAGCCGCGGUAAUAC
rnacentral:rRNA from 1 species